rnacentral:pre_miRNA from 1 species
UUAACUCAUAUUUGUAUGGAAUGGGAUCGUUUGCGUACGUUUGCCGCUAGGGGCGCUGUUCCAAUUGCAUACAAAAUUGGGUUA